rnacentral:tRNA from 1 species
CCUGGUGGCUCAGAGGUUAAAGCAUCUGCCUACAAUGCAGGAGACCCAGGUUCGAUCCCUGGGUCAGGA